rnacentral:rRNA from 1 species
AUCGCCAGCUUGCUGGCGAAUUGUAGUCUGCAGUGGCAACUCCUGGGUGGCGCGCGGCCGAAGCAUCUUGGAAAAGAUCGCCGCAGAGGGUGAGAGCCCCGUAGGCCAAGCAAAGCCCUUCACGGAGUGCUCACAGAGAGUCGGGUUGUUUGGGAAUGCAGCCCUAAUUGGGUGGUAAACCCCAUCUAAGGCUAAAUACCGGUGGGAGACCGAUAGCAAAAAAGUACCUCGAGGGAACGAUGAAAAGACCGCUGGCAAGCGAGUGAAAGAGUGCAUGAAAUUGUACAGUGGGAAGGGAUAGCCUGGCGUCGUGCGCCCGGGUAUACCCGGCUCGUGGAGGCGGUGAAUACACCGGGUGCGUGCAGGUGCCGACAUGCGUGGCCGGAGAUCAAGAGGCCGAGACGUCUCCCGUCACGGGCGCGCGUGUUGAGGUCGAUUGCUGCUUGUGCAAAACUGCAGCGACAUAGCACCCGCUU